rnacentral:rRNA from 1 species
GACAGAGGUGCCAAGCGUUAGGCGGAAUCACUGGGCUUAAAGCGUGUGUAGGCGGGCCGUUAAGUGUCUUGUGAAAUCCCCCGGCUCAACCGGGGAAUUGCUGGGCAUACUGGCGGUCUUGAGCGAUCUAGGGGCAGAUGGAACAAGUGGUGGAGCGGUGAAAUGCGUAGAGAUCGGAAAGAACACCAACGGCGAAAGCACUCUGCUGGGCCGACACUGACACUGAGAGACGAAAGCUAGGGGAGCGAAUGGG